rnacentral:rRNA from 1 species
GAUGAACGCUGGCGGCGUGCCUAAUACAUGCAAGUCGAGCGAACAGACGAGGAGCUUGCUCCUCUGACGUUAGCGGCGGACGGGUGAGUAACACGUGGAUAACCUACCUAUAAGACUGGGAUAACUUCGGGAAACCGGAGCUAAUACCGGAUAAUAUAUUGAACCGCAUGGUUCAAUAGUGAAAGACGGUUUUGCUGUCACUUAUAGAUGGAUCCGCGCCGCAUUAGCUAGUUGGUAAGGUAACGGAUUACCAAGGCAACGAUGCGUAGCCGACCUGAGAGGGUGAUCGGCCACACUGGAACUGAGACACGGUCCAGACUCCUACGGGAGGCAGCAGUAGGGAAUCUUCGGAAAUGGGCGAAAGCUUGACGGAGCAACGCCGCGUGAGUGAUGAAGGUCUUCGGAUCGUAAAACUCUGUUAUUAGGGAAGAACAAAUGUGUAAGUAACUAUGCACGUCUUGACGGUACCUAAUCAGAAAGCCACGGCUAACUACGUG